rnacentral:lncRNA from 1 species
UUUGAAUUUGUUCUUUCAAUUUGACUCAAGAAGUUUACAAAAACCCUACUAUUCUGCCGUCUCACUCCUCACAGUGGUGUCGUUAUCAUCCUUUCUCAAAUCACCUCCCUCUCGCCAUCCUUCGUCUUACACUAUCUUCAUCCCCAAAUAAUCGUAUACUUCACAUUGCAACGCCACAUUACGCCUCUUUGCUCGACCACACCACCUCUCUCUCUCUGCUCGGCCGUAUCAAAUCAAAAUCGUCGGAAAAGUCAGUCUCCGCCACCACCACAAAAAAUUUCUCUAUCUCCUUCUCCCUUUUCUCUAUCAAAAUCGCCGGAAAAGUCAGUCUUCGCCACCACCACAGAAAG